CGAUGAAUGAAUAAAGUACACUGACACACAGAUAUUCUGCUCUGCCAGUCCAGCUGAGGGUCCAAGCCCCUUACAGGCUCCCUGCUGAGCCCUGUAAACAGUUGCGACUCGGCAGGGAGCCUGUAAGCACCUGGGACCCUCAGAAUAUCUGUGUGUCAGCGUACUUUAUUCACCGGUCAUUGGGUCAGGGGUCUGCAAGGGACAGACUCCCCACAGCUGGUGACCCCUCGAGAGGAGCCCUGCCCCCAGCUGGUGCCCCAUGUGAGGCGCUGUGUGAGGAACUGUGUGAGGAAUGCUGUGAAGGAAACGCGACGAACCGCCCGAAAACGAAGACAGACAGAACAGCAUGUGGAGACUCACACAGUGAAAUUUUCCUCCAAGAAGUACUGCAUGAACAUACCAGGAAAACCAAAAGAAUUCACAGGACCUUUGAAAGAAGUGGCUUGCCGCUGCAAACUCCAUGAGACAGCUGAAAAACUGGCAAAGCGGCUGAGAUCUUUGAACUCCCUUUGAACUUUGAGAAUGGUGACUGGAAGAUGACAAUUCAUGUUGUUUUCAGGAAAGUAUUGGAAGAAGACUUUUAUUUAACUCAGAAGUUAUUUUUCUUCUCCCAACUACCAGAGUGGUCUUCACCAGUAAAAAGUAAAAGUAUCUCUGGGUAUCCUCAGG
rnacentral:lncRNA from 1 species